rnacentral:tRNA from 1 species
GCUCCGGUGGUGUAGUCAGGUUAAGAAGACGCCUACAGCAUCCGAGCCUCUCGAGCUCGAAACCCGGGUUCAAAUCCCGGCCGGAGCACCA